rnacentral:rRNA from 1 species
GACGUAGGGCGCAAGCGUUGUCCGGAUUUAUUGGGCGUAAAGAGCUCGUAGGCGGCCUGUCGCGUCGACCGUGAAAACCCGCAGCUCAACUGCGGGCUUGCGGUCGAUACGGGCAGGCUGGAGUUCGGUAGGGGAGACUGGAAUUCCUGGUGUAGCGGUGAAAUGCGCAGAUAUCAGGAGGAACACCGAUGGCGAAGGCAGGUCUCUGGGCAUUAACUGACGCUGAGGAGCGAAAGCAUGGGGAGCGAACAGG